rnacentral:lncRNA from 1 species
CCUGUAGUUCCAGCUGCUCAGGAGGCUGAGGCAGGAGAAUUGCUCGAACCAGGAGGUGGAGGUUGCAGUGAGCCAAGAUUGCGCCACUGCACUCCAGCCUGGGUGACAGAGUGAGACUUCAUCUCAAAACAAAACAAAACAAACAAACAAACAAACAAAAAUCUCUAUAUAUAGAUGUGGGUCUCAAAAACAGGACUGCCUCUUAGGUGGUAAACACUGUCCCCAGGUCUGCUUUCUAGUCUGAUGACUUUACAACAACACUCUAUUUGGCAUCUCAAUGCAAUAUUUAUCUGUAGAAAUACAGUCUUUCUGGGGAGUUGCUUUUUACUUUUUAGAGAUGAGUUCUUGCUCUGUUGCCAAUGCUGGAGUAUAGUGGAACAAUCAUAGCUCACCAUAGCUUCAAACUCUUGGGCUCAAGUGAUCCUCCCACCUCAGCUUCACAAGUAACUUGGACACUUAGACUACAGGUGUGCGUCACCAUGCCUGGGUAAUUUUAAAUUUUUGAUAGAGACAGGGUCUCGCUAUGUUUCCCAGGCUGUAUUACUGUCUUUGAUUACAUAGGUCAGUGACAACAGGGAACUAGGUCUCACAGUGACCUGCUAUGGACUUCAGAGAUUCCUUGGCAAGGCAUUGUCGAAAAUAUAAGGUUCAUGUUGAAGUUGUCAUAAAAUUUUUAUGUAGCUGUAUAAAUGUGGACAGCAGAUAUAAAAAUAAGGAAUACCUUAGACUUCUGUAAGCCAGAUAUAAGUACCUACCUAAGAUGCUAGAAAUGAUAUUCUAAUUUAAAUUUUUUUUUUAAUUUUUAGAGAUGGGGUCUUGCUAUGUUGCCCAGGCUGGAGUAGAGUGGCUAUUCACAGGCAUAAUUAUAGUGCACUACAGCCUCAAGUGAUCCUCCCUUCUCAGCUUCCUAAGUAGCUGGGACUAUAGGCAUGUGUCACCACAGCUGGCUGAUUUUUGUAUUUUUAAUAGAAACGGGGUCUCCCUGUAUUAUGUUGCCCAGGCUAGUCUUGAAUUCCUGGGCUCAAGCAAUCCUCCCACCUUGGCCUCCCAAAGUGGUGGGAUUACAGGUAUGAGCCAAGAGGCUAUUUUUUUACUGUCAUAACUGCACCUAUACAGUACAAACUAGAGUUAUCUAGUUAAAUUUGAACAACCUCUCUAAUCUAAAUUGGGUAAUUCCAGGAUAAACAUCACUUUGGAGAUUGUAUUUUCCCAUCUGGUUCUCUUAAUCAUCAUGCAAACUAGAAAAUAUCCAAAUAUCUGUAUAUACACUUUAUAUCACAGUAUGUGUGGGCUCCAUACAUACUCUAAUUCUCCAAAUGCAAUUAUAUUAGUAUAUCUAUAUAAACCCUACUACAUUAAAAAAAAGGAUUUGGGUGGGUUUUUUUUGUUUGUUUGUUUGUUUUUGUUUUGCUCUUGUUGCUCAGGCUGGAGUGCAAUGACGCGAUCUUGGCUCACUGCAACCUCUGCCUCUUGGGUUCAAGCAAUUCUCCUGCCUUAGCCUCCCGCAUAGCUGGGAUUACAGGCACCCGCCACUAUGCCCAGCUAAUUUCUGUAUUUUUAGUGGGGAAGGAGUUUCACCAUGUUGGCCAGGCUGGUCUCAAACUCCUGACCUCAGGUGAUCCACCUGCCUCAGCCUCCCAAAGUGCUGGGAUUACAGGUGUGAGCCACUGCACCCAGCUGGGUGUUUUUAUCUGUAUUUGUUAUGGAUCAUCUCAUGGAGUGAGGCAGAGUUGGCAUCAGUUUUGUUCAUCAAAGCUGCUUGUAGAAAGUGGCAGAGUUGGAGUUGGGCUUCUAGGGUGAGCCAGCUAUAAAAAAAAAAAGUCCCAAUUAUAAUAUCAAUUAUAUUCCUGUGAUAAGUACAACUCUCCUUUCUCAACAGAACCCAGAAUUUUUGCAUGGCAACACUGCAUUCAGAUUGUAAAAACCACUUUUCCCAGUUUCCCUGAUGCAAUCAGAAGUUCCUGGAUAGGGCUUCUUUGAAGAAAU